rnacentral:rRNA from 1 species
CUGACAGUCAGCACGUCACGUGACGUAUGCUCGUCAGUGUCGCGAUCUAAAUUACUAACCCUUGAGAGUCAAUUGUACUAGCUUUUGUGUUCUGGACAGAAACACCGUAAACAUCCGUGGAUCGUCCAGUUACUGAGGGAUUGGCGGGACCGCACAAGCAGUGGAUUUUUGUUAUUCGAUCUACGCGAGAACCUUACCGACCUUGACAUCUUGGUCGCGACUCCAGAGAUGUUUGUUUCAAUUCGGUGGACCAAAGACAGAUGCUGCAUGCUGUCGUCAGCUCGUGUCGUGAGAUGUUAGGUUAAGUCUGCAACGAGCGCAACCCACGCCCUAUGUUGCCAGCGGGUAAUGCCGGGAACUCUUAGGGGACUGCCCGCGUCAAGCGGGAGGAAGGUGUGGAUGACGUCAAGUCAUCAUGGUUCUUACGGGUCGGGCUACAAACGUACUACAAUGGUGGUAACAAUGGGUCGCAAUGUCGCAAGGCAAAGCCAAUCCUUAAAAACCGUCUCAGUUCGGAUUGUCCUCUGCAACUCGAGGGCAUGAAGUUGGAAUUGCUAGUAAUCGUUGAUCAGAAUGCAACGGUGAAUACGUUCCCGGGUCUUGUACACACCGCCUGUCAAACCAUGAGAGUCGAUUUCACCCAAAGUCGGUAGUUUAACGCAAGAGGGCGCCGCCUACGGUGGGAUUGGUGAUUGGGGUUAAGUCAUAACAAGGUAGCAGUACCGGAAAGUGCGGCUGGAUCACCUCC